rnacentral:rRNA from 1 species
UGCCUGCCAGUGACCAUGUGUUUAACGGCCGCGGUAUUCUGACCGCGCAAAGGUAGCGUAAUCACUUGUUUUUUAAAUGAAGACUAGUAUGAACGGCCACACGAGGACCUAACUGUCUCCUUAAUCUAAUCAGUGAAACUGAUCCCCCCGUGCAAAAGCGGGGAUACUACCAUAAGACGAGAAGACCCUAUGGAGCUUUAAACUUUUAUUAAUUAUUUUAUUCACCUCUCCAAGGAGUUAACAAUCAAUUAAAUUUUUUUAAUAAAAGUUUUGGGUUGGGGCGACCAUGGAGAAAAAAAAAUCCUCCCUGAUGACAACCUAACCAAGAGUCACAACUCUAAGUAUUAAGAUACUUAACUCCUAUUGACCCAUUUUAUGAUCAACGAACCAAGUUACCCUAGGGAUAACAGCGCAAUCCAUUUCAAGAGUCCCUAUCGACAAAUGGGUUUACGACCUCGAUGUUGGAUCAGGGCAUCCAAGUGGUGCAACCGCUACUAAAGGUUCGUUUGUUCAACGAUUAAAGCCCUACGUGAUCG